rnacentral:tRNA from 1 species
GGAGUACAUCUCAGUGGUAGAGUGUGUGCUUAGCAUGCAUGAGGUCCUGGGUUCAAUCCCCAGUAUCUCCA